rnacentral:lncRNA from 1 species
GUAAUGAAACUACCCCAUAAGGAGAUGAAAAACAAGAUAUACUCAAUGGGAGGAGCACAUGCUUGUACUUAAAUUCUUCUGUUUCUCCUUCAGUCAGAUGGGCAAAGGAAAAUGCUGUCCUAUCCCAAGAAAUGCAAAGGCAUAAUCAAGUAUGUCUGUGCCUCUCUUGCCAUUUUGAUAUUGGGAACUCAUCCAGCUGUGAACCAAUAGUCUUGCAACCUGACAGAAAUGUGUGGUGCAGCAAAAUUUGUCCAUGA